AUCUUGACAUUUAUUAACUCAGAAUGAACACACCAAAACAACAAAACGAACUUACGAACAACGAAACAGUCUUGAAAGGCUCACUCGGCAAAACAAGAAACACACCACCCCUAACCACAUAAAACAAAUACCCUCUGCCACGUCCUGACCAAACUACAAUACCAAUUAACCCUUAUACUGGCCAGGACGUGACACAGUAUGAACUCACAUGUUGUCCAUCCAAUCAUAGGAUUAGGAUCAGAGAAUUAACCUAAUAUGUUGUAUUGGGGUUGUGCGAAUUAAAACCAAGGGUCGACCUCUGCCUGAGAUCAGUUUCACGAAGAAGGAUGAAAAGGUGAGGGCGUUGAAUACCAAUUGGGAUCAAAAGUAUAGCUGGUUAACAGGGAGGCUUUCAUCAAGCAGCCUGUAUUGCUGGCCUUGCCUGCUUAUGGAAAGUCUGAGCCUUGUGCGAAAGGGCGGUACAGUAGCCUCCAGAACAUCUAUCGUUCAGCUAAACCGCUAAACAAAAGCAGGGAGCAUACAGAAGCCCACAUCAGAUUUAAGCUUCUGGGAAAAAGCCGCAUCGAUCUUGACGAAGGUCUGCGUAUUCAAACAGCGCAACACAACGAGAAAUCAAGUCCUUUCCUGCACUGAAGUCAAGCCUCUGAACGCCUCAACUCAUGCCUCAUACCCUCAUUCAAUCACUGCUGUGUACCCUUUCCAACACUAACCAGGAUGUAAUACAGAGAAAAGGAAAGGGUGG
rnacentral:lncRNA from 1 species